rnacentral:snoRNA from 1 species
AGACUAUGGUGAGGACACUUCCUAAGCAGUUCCUUAAAUCUCUCCCACGACUCAUAUAAAGUUUCAUUUUCAAAUUGAGAAAAAAUUGUUAUGUCAUUUCUUAAUUC